UACGAAGGGGGCUAGCGUUGCUCGGAAUCACUGGGCGUAAAGCGCACGUAGGCGGGUUGCUAAGUCAGGGGUGAAAUCCUGGAGCUCAACUCCAGAACUGCCUUUGAUACUGGCGGCCUUGAGUCCGGGAGAGGUGAGUGGAACUGCGAGUGUAGAGGUGAAAUUCGUAGAUAUUCGCAAGAACACCAGUGGCGAAGGCGGCUCACUGGACUGGUAUUGACGCUGAGGUGCGAAAGCGUGGGGAGCAAACAGG
rnacentral:rRNA from 1 species